rnacentral:tRNA from 1 species
GCCUGGGUGGCUCAGUCAGUUAAGCGUCUGACUCUUGAUUUUGGUUCAGGUCAUGAUCCCUCGGUUCAUGGGUUCAAGCCCCAUGUCAGGCU